rnacentral:RNase_P_RNA from 1 species
GGUGACCGGGGGCUCGUCGCCGUCAGCCACGAGGCUGUCGGAGGAAAGUCCGGGCAACACAGAGCGGCGAACUCUCGAAAGGAGAGCCGGCGGUAACGUCGGAGAAGUGUGACAGAGAACGACCGCCGAUACCAUCGGUAAGGGUGAAAAGGUGGGGUAAGAGCCCACCGGGCGCCACAGCGAUAUGGCGUGCCGCACACCUUUCGCGUUGCAAGGUCAAAUAAACCGGCUUCGGGGCUGCUCGUCCUUAGCCGGCGGGUAGACUGCACAGAUAAAUGACGGGCAAUGCUCGGCAACUCCGUAAGGAUAGUGCCGACAUUACAUAACCCGGCUUAUACCCGAUCACCGUCU